UACAGAGGGUGCAAGCGUUGUUCGGAAUUACUGGGCGUAAAGCGCGUGUAGGCGGCCAUCUAAGUCGGGCGUGAAAUCCCACGGCUCAACCGUGGAAGUGCACUCGAAACUGGAUGGCUAGAGUCCUGGAGAGGAAGGUGGAAUGCUUGGUGUAGAGGUGAAAUUCGUAGAUAUCAAGCGGAACACCGGUGGCGAAGGCGGCCUUCUGGACAGUGACUGACGCUGAGACGCGAAAGCGUGGGGAGCAAACAGG
rnacentral:rRNA from 1 species